rnacentral:rRNA from 1 species
UGGGGAAUAUUGCACAAUGGGGGAAACCCUGAUGCAGCGACGCCGCGUGAGCGAAGAAGGUUUUCGAAUCGUAAAGCUCUGUCCUAUGAGAAGAUAAUGACGGUAUCAUAGGAGGAAGCCCCGGCUAAUUACGUGCCAGCAGCCGCGGUAAUACGUAUGGGGCGGGCGUUGUCCGGAAUUAUUGGGCGUAAAGGGUACGUAGGCGGUCUAUUAAGUCAGGUGUGAAAGCGUGGGGCUUAACCUCAUUAAGCACUUGAAACUGAUAGACUUGAGUGAAGGAGAGGAAAGUGGAAUUCCUAGUGUAGCGGUGAAAUGCGUAGAGAUUAGGAGGAACACCGGUGGCGAAAGCGGCUUUUUGGCCUGCAACUGACACUGAGGCGCGAAAGCGUGGGGAGCAAACAGG